rnacentral:rRNA from 1 species
AACGAACGCUGGCGGCGUGGAUAAGACAUGCAAGUCGAACGCUGAUUGCGGGGUAGCAAUAUUCCGCAGUCGGAGUGGCGCAAGGGUGCGUAACACGUGGGUAAUUUGCCGGGAAGUUGGGGAUAACUUGCUGAAAGGCAAGCUAAUACCGAAUGUGAAAUCUGGAAGGCAUCUUCCGGUUUUCAAAGUUGGGGACCGUAAGGCCUGACGCUUCCUGAUAAGCCCGCGGCCUAUCAGCUAGUUGGUGAGGUAACGGCUCACCAAGGCUAAGACGGGUAGCUGGUCUGAGAGGACGACCAGCCACACUGGAACUGAGACACGGUCCAGACACCUACGGGUGGCAGCAGUCGAGAAUUUUUCACAAUGGGGAAACCCUGAUGGAGCGACGCCGCGUGGGGGAUGAAUGGCUUCGGCCCGUAAACCCCUGUCAUUUGCGAACAAACCUCGCUAUUUAAAAGAUGGUGAGUUGAUUGUAGCGAAAGAGGAAGGGACGGCUAACUCUGUGCCAGC